rnacentral:lncRNA from 1 species
GAUCUGUCAGGCCCUGUUCCUUUCAGGUGGCGCCCCUGAGAGGCUGUCCUGAUAAGGAUUUCUUCAAUCAGCAGCAGGAUUUUGAGCUGUGUGGAGUCCCAGGCUUUCAGCAACCUUUCAUUCGACUCUUGGUUUGCAGAAACAUUGACACGGCCAGAAAAGAAAGCCAAUGGCCUGUGUUUGUGAGGAAGGCAACUGAUUUUCAGGGGAAUGAGUUUCGGGAAAGAGACCAGCGGAGGAAAUGACGAAGAAAACGCUGCGGACGGCUCCUCCGCGCAGCCCUCAGCCCAGGUCCAGACCCCCCGGAUCGGCUGCCCGGGAGACGUACGCUGGCAGUGGACGGGUGAUCAACUCGGAUGCAGGCAAUCAUUUUUUAAGUGAAUAAAAUGUUCUCAUUUUGUUUUAACUUUCCCCAAGCUGCCGAAAUGCAGAGGUUCAGAAAUGCAAUGUGGUCUUUACAUUUGAUUAAAAAAAAGAAGAAGAAAAAGAAAAGGAAAGACCCCCUUCAUCCCUCUAUGUGACGGGAUCCACGCUCCCACAGGCUGCAGGGUUUGUCCCCACGCGGGGGCCGUUGGGGCUCUCACUCAGAAGGGUCGGCGACUGAGCCAUGUCCACGUGAGCGGAGCGCACAGCCUGACCUCGCAGAGAACCUCAGCGCGAUCCGAACUUUCACCCACAUUGUCACUGUCCUGUUCCUCUCCCUUCCUCCAAUGUUCAGGGCCUCACUCCACACGACAAUUUUCAGCGUGAGGACAGAGGCUCCCGAGGGGCCGGGAAGUCACAUUUUCUGGGGGACUUUUCGCUGUGUUUCCUAGUUAUCGAACAGGGCUGACUUGUGAGCCUAACAUAAACAUGGGUUCGAGAAGCAGCUCAGAAAAACAGGAACUGUCAAUUCAUGAGAACUUAAAGAAAAAAAUAGUUUAAAGAACUGAGAAGUUGCCACAUUAUAGUGAAAGACUGUCAGGUUUUGGAAAUGACAAUAACGAGCAAUUUUCACCUCGAAAACCCGGUGGAGUCGGUUACACAAGACAUAACCACACACAAACAUGGGCAUUUCUU